rnacentral:rRNA from 1 species
GACGAACGCUGGCGGCGUGCUUAACACAUGCAAGUCGAACGGAAAGGCCCUGCUUUUGUGGGGUGCUCGAGUGGCGAACGGGUGAGUAGCACGUGAGUAACCUGCCCUUGACUUUGGGAUAACUUCAGGAAACUGGGGCUAAUACCGGAUAGGAGCUCCUGCUGCAUGGUGGGGGUUGGAAAGUUUCGGCGGUUGGGGAUGGACUCGCGGCUUAUCAGCUUGUUGGUGGGGUAGUGGCUUACCAAGGCUUUGACGGGUAGCCGGCCUGAGAGGGUGACCGGCCACAUUGGGACUGAGAUACGGCCCAGACUCCUACGGGAGGCAGCAGUGGGGAAUAUUGCACAAUGGGCGGAAGCCUGAUGCAGCAACGCCGCGUGCGGGAUGACGGCCUUCGGGUUGUAAACCGCUUUCGCCUGUGACGAAGCGUGAGUGACGGUAAUGGGUAAAGAAGCACCGGCUAACUACAUG